UGUAUAAUGACAUGUCCUGUGUCUUCCAGGUGUUUGCCAGAUGUACAACUCCAGCGGGUGCUGAUGUUGCUGUGGUUCUCUUGGAGGUGGUCUCAUAAGGACCCUGCCCCAGCUGUCACUUGACGUACUUAGGAACGUCCUAACUCAAAAGAAUCACAGGUACUGAACUUGAAUAUGUGUGUCAUUGUUUUCUAUUCUUUUUUAUGAUAAACGCUUCCUUGUAUGAAUUUCCCAAACAGAAGUGGGCUCAACUUGUGAAGCAGCGGAUGACAGAGAUGAGAUACGAGGAAGCCUUGAAAAGCAUCUGUAGGAACCAGCUCCAUGGAGUCCUUUGCCAGAAAAAAGACGUCCAGAGCCAGGAAGAGCCCUGACAUGACUCCGG